rnacentral:rRNA from 1 species
AGUGAACGCUGGCGGUAGGCCUAACACAUGCAAGUCGAACGGCAGCACAGUAAGAGCUUGCUCUUACGGGUGGCGAGUGGCGGACGGGUGAGGAAUACAUCGGAAUCUACUUUUUCGUGGGGGAUAACGUAGGGAAACUUACGCUAAUACCGCAUACGACCUACGGGUGAAAGCAGGGGAUCUUCUGACCUUGCGCGAUUGAAUGAGCCGAUGUCGGAUUAGCUAGUUGGCGGGGUAAAGGCCCACCAAGGCGACGAUCCGUAGCUGGUCUGAGAGGAUGAUCAGCGACACUGGAACUGAGACACGGUCCAGAGUCCUACGGGAGGCAGCAGUGGGGAAUAUUGGGCAAUGGGCGCAAGCCUGAUCCAGCCAUACCGCGUGGGUGAAGAAGGCCUUCGGGUUGUAAAGCCCUUUUGUUGGGAAAGAAAAGCAGCAGGUUAAUACCCCGCUGUUCUGACGGUACCCAAAGAAUAAGCACCGGCUAACUUCGUG